rnacentral:rRNA from 1 species
UGAAAUCUCGGGGCUCAACCCCGAAACAGCGUCUGAAACUACUAAUCUAGAAUCUUGGAGAGGGAAGGGGAAUUUCUCAUGUAGGGGUAAAAUCCGUAGAGAUGAGAAGGAACACCGGAGGCGAAGGCGCCUUCCUGGCCAAUGAUUGACGCUGAGGCGCGAAAGCGUGGGGAGCAAACAGGAUUAGAGACCCUGGUAGUCCACGCCGUAAACGAUGAACACUAGAUGUGGGGGGUUGACCCCUUCCGUGUCGUAGCUAACGCGUUAAG